rnacentral:lncRNA from 1 species
AUGCAAAGUGCCCUCAUUCGUGGCUGGCAGUGGGUGCUGUCGGUGGACUGGGCCACCGCACUUCCCCCUGGACGCCCCCUGGUGGCUGAGCUCCAGAGGUGCACUGCGAAAGCUGCAAGGCUACAUCUAUCCUAUUCGCCGGUGGAGGGCCAGCAUCACCCAAGGGACAGCACGUGGGACAAUUUCAGAGGGAGCACCCCUUGGCGCGAGGACCCUGACUCCACCAAGGACACCAACUCAGCCAAGGACCCAGAGUCCUGGCACCCUCCACCUUAAGCAUUUUUUUGCCAACACGCCCCAGCGCUGAAGCCGUAGCUCAUCCCACUGAUGCGGAGACCGAGGCUCAGAGAGGGAAGAGCUGGACUGAGGUGGGUCUGGACCCGCGUUCCUGGAGGGAGGAGGGCUGCCAGUGUGCCGAGGGGAGGGCGUCCCAGGACAGGAGUCAGGGACAGAGAGAAAGAAGGGGCCUGAGAUCCUGGAUGAGACAGAGUGAGAAGGAGAUGCAGGAAGUGGGGCGAGGGGGGCUGGAUGAGGGGCUUUGCCGGGGCGGGGCCCUCAUCCUCCCCCUCCCCCACAGCCCUCCCCCUCUGGGAAGCGCUGCUGCUGUCCUAACCCCAUCCUUCAGGCUGUAGCACCAGCUGUCUCACCCCCACACACACACCCCGUGCCUGGGCAGUUUUGUUUCAUUUCCACAAGAUACAGGUUGUGGCUGAGGUCGAGCUGUGUAUGAGGGUCAUAAAAAUCUCCUUAGAGAAGCCCAGCAGGGGUGGGGGUCCAUUCCACCCUCUCAGCCCGCUUCUCUCUCUGGGACUCUGUCUCCCCCUCCCGUCUCUGUCCCUGCUUUCCCUGGGUCUUUGUCUGCUCAACCCGUUUCUGUCCCCUUCUCUCUGGAUCUGUGCCUCAUUUCUCUGUGGAGCUCUUCCCCUUCGGGAGGUUCAGGUAUCCCCUUUGAGGAGUUCCCGAUGUGUCUCAGCGGGUUACCAACUUGACUAGUAUCCAUGAGGGCACAGGUUCGAUCCCUGGCCUCGCUCAGUGGGUGAAAGAUCCAGUGUUGCCACGAGCUUCGGUGUAGGUCACAGACAUGGCACAGAUCUGGCGUUGCUAUUUGUGGUGUAGGCGCACAGCUGCAGCUCAGAUCCGACCCCUGGCCUGGGAACUUCCAUGUGCUGCUGGAACAGCCCCCCAAAAAAUGCCAAAAAAAAAGUAUCCCCCUUGAUAAUAGGGUGAACACUAUGGGCCAUCACCCUAUAAAGACAUAUAGACACCAUGCCCAUAGUUUGCCAGGCAAGUUGAGGGAGUUUACAGGCCUCCUGGCACCCUGGUUUACAUCCUCUCGGGACUCUGAGGCCACCAGAGGAUAAAGACCCUACUGUAGAGAAAGCCAGCAAGAGACUGAACCCCGGGGGGGAGGGUCUCUCCCUUCUCCCCGCCUCCCUGCCCCCUCCUGCCCUCACUGGUCUCCUCACUGUUUCCCAAACACAUUCCUGCCCCAGGGCCUUUGCACCUGCAGUUCCUCUGCUAAUAUUCCCAGACAUCAGCCUGGCUCCCUCGCCCCCCUUCUUCAGGUCGCUGCUCAGAUGUCCCCUCCUCUGAGGUCUUGCCCUUUCCAGCUCUGGUCGUCCCCCGUCCUUAUUCUGCUUUGUCUCAGCACACUGGACACCUCCAGGCGGUUUUUUUUCUACUUUGCACAUGUAUUUACUGGACCAUUCUCUCCCCCACACCAUCCCCAAUGGCCUGUGAGCGCCAGGAGGCCAGGAAAGGUUGUCUUCUGUUCCCGGCUCUAUCUCCAGAACACCACCCGGCACACAGUAGGUGCUCAAUAAAUAUUUGUUGCAGAAAUCUUUGUUUCAUUAGAACACUAGUUGCAUAGGCUGCCUGGGACAGCCAGAAAUCAGAUGAAAAGCUGUGGACCUGCUCUCAAGCAGAUGUGUCACCAGGCACUCCGUUUUUACCCUCAGUUUUAGAGAUUCUAUCACACACUCCUUGGGAGCCAUUGAAGGGAUUUCAGGCUAAGAAACUUCCAAAAGGGAAGCGUCAAAAUGGGCGGAGGGCAGCAACACCUCCGGGGGUG